CCCCCCCCGCUGGCGCGGCGUCGGCCCCCUUCUGGCAGGAAGCUCGGACCCAGGGGGACUAUGGUGAGUCAGCCGGA
rnacentral:miRNA from 1 species